AUAAUAUAUAUGUAUUAGGUUUAGUUUGUCUUCAUGGUUUCUGUCUCUCCCAUAUUGAUUGGUUUUCCCCCGGAAAAUAGCUUUUGAUUUCUCUAGAAAGUGAAUGAAAAUUGUUCUUGGAAGGUUGUAGGACUUGGAGGGUGGUGAAGAAAAUGUUGUAUGUUUGUCAUUUGUUCUCUUUAAUUGUUUUAUAAGGGAAGACGUUUCUUGUAUAUAUAGCAAAGUUGGUGCGCAUAAUUUGCUUUAUAUGUGCCGAAUUUUAGUUCCAUAAUGAAUAAUGAUAUAAUUAAGAAAAUAUAGAAUCUAUUUUACUUCAAAUUUAAGCACUCAGGAAAACUUCAAUCUUAUCCUGUAUGUAUUAUUAGGUGCUUUAUUUAGUUCUUUUCUCUAUAUGUCAUCAUCAAAACUUAAAAGACAAUCCAGCUAAACCCUGGAUUAACGGAGAUAAUGACACCCAUAAUCGGAUAUAUUUGUAAGUAAGUAAUGUAUGCGAAUGUAUACGAACAAUGUUUUACUAGGUUAAAUAUAAAUCAUAUUUUCACAUUCUUUGUGAGUUUUUAAUUAUUCUACUAGACAUAAAUAUAGAUAAUAUUAUUUGGGGAUAAUUUUUCUUUUUUGCUAGGCUGUUGCUUAAAAUGUGGUUUUGCUAGUCGUAACAUUCGUAAGUAGAUUUCUCUUCAUGUAAUGAAAAAAAUAUGUUUUAUUUAUUCCAAAGAUAUAUCAACAGAAAUACAGACUCAUUAAGACAAAGAACCAAAAAAAGUAAAGUGGUGGUGUAGUGGUAGGAAAAUUAAAUUAUAUAAAUUAUAUUUGUUUUUGAAACGUAUCGUAUCAAUAAACAAAAGUCAAAAGCUAGCGUUUGAUUUACAUAUUUGGAAUCUUAUCGAUGAACUUUUUACCACAAAGUAUCAAUUAUACACAUGUUGCCUUUAGUCUUUAACAGAAAGUAUUUUCCACACAACUAUCUUUUUAUUGUGUGUAUAUCAAUUUCUGCUAAAGAAACUUAAAUGGACCCAGUAAUAUGACAACACACAAAAAAAAGCCAAAGUUCGACAAAAUUGGUGGUGUCAAUAUAACGCAGUUUUGAUAUAUAUUUUCCAAUUAAAACUUUUUAAUAGACAUUUUAUUAUUGUUACAUGGAAGUACGAAUCAUUGUACAGAGAAGCCACAACCUCAUAGAUUGUUGGAAUAUGAAUAUCUAGCGAAUAAUAAUAUUAAACAUUAAAUAAUAAAGGUAAAUUCCCACUUGAAAUUAAAUACAUUAAUUUACACCAAAAAAAUACAUUAAUAUGUCAAAAAGUAAUCUUCGUUUAUGUAACUUCAGAUAUUGAAUUCCCACUUGAAAUUAAAUACAUUAAUUUACACCAAAAAAAAUACAUUCAUCUCCAAAGGCACUCUAUUUUUUCCUCUAUAAUUUACACUAAAAUAGAGUAACUCUAUUAUAGAGUUAAAUUUGCUCCAAUGGUUCACUCUAUAAUAGAGUUACUCUAUAAUAGAGUGAAAUAUAGAGUAAUCCUAUUUUUUUACUCCAAAUAUAUUUUGAAUGAAUGUAAAAUUAUAUUCAGUCAAAACUGUGCUACAUCUAGUGUUUCUGUUUUUUAUUUAUAUACUCAAUCAACUAAAAUAAAAAACUUUCUAUUUUCUAUUUUCUAUGUUGGAUUUGGAACUUGCCUUUUGAAAAAGUACUAAGUAUCCCGGGUUCGAAAUCUAUUAGUCGGGGUUUCGGGUCUGGACGACGACCCAUGUUACCCAAAAAGAAAUGUGUGUUGAGUAAACAUAUAUCCCCAUGACAAUAACCUACAUACUUAAAACUAUUAUCAUCACAAAAUGUUUAUUUUCAAUAUUAUCAUGCCAAGCUUACAGUUAAUCAUCGUAAAACACACACAUUUGAACAGCAACAAGAAUCCACACAACAUAUGCGAUAAGAUGUGGAGACCGAUAAUUAUUUAUAAUCAACAAUAACAUGAGACAAUUAUGUAGCAUAUAUAUAAGAAUACCAUUAAACCUUAAAACACCGGAUGAGAUGGUUAUGAGGAUGAGGAUGGUGAUGGUGAUGGUGAUGAUGGCCAAGAGUAUUAUAAGCACCGAGAAAUUUGGAGUUUUCCCGAUCGAUCAUUCCUCGAACAUACCUAAACUCUUCAACAUGACAAGGGAUCGUGAUUGUCCCUUUUUGAGCAAAUCCAAACUCUUCUUCAGCUUCUUUCAAGAGUUGUCCAAACAAAGGAUGAUUAAAAUACCAAACGGGAAUCACAAAUCUCUCUUGCUCUUCUCCUUGUCCUACCUUCACUGCCAAACACCCUUUUGGUACCUUUUCAUGACCAUGCUCAUGAUGAUUAUGAUUAUGAUGAUAAUGGAGGCGUGGAAUAUGGAAGCUCCAGUGACUGAUGAGUUUGUCUCCGUUGCCCAUUGGAUGAAUAUUAGUAUAUAGAUAAUAUAUAUGUAUUAGGUUUAGUUUGUCUUCAUGGUUUCUGUCUCUCCCAUAUUGAUUGGUUUUCCCCCGGAAAAUAGCUUUUGAUUUCUCUAGAAAGUGAAUGAAAAUUGUUCUUGGAAGGUUGUAGGACUUGGAGGGUGGUGAAGAAAAUGUUGUAUGUUUGUCAUUUGUUCUCUUUAAUUGUUUUAUAAGGGAAGACGUUUCUUG
rnacentral:lncRNA from 1 species